rnacentral:rRNA from 1 species
UACGGAGGGUGCGAGCGUUAUCCGGAAUCACUGGGUUUAAAGGGUGCGUAGGCGGCCGGAUAAGUCAGUUGUGAAAUCGCUGGGCUCAACCCAUGCAAUUGCGAUUGAUACUGUCUGGCUUGAAACAGGUUGAGGUAAGCGGAAUGUGGCAUGUAGCGGUGAAAUGCAUAGAUAUGCCAUAGAACACCGAUUGCGAAGGCAGCUUGCUGGGCCUGGAUUGACGCUGAGGCACGAAAGCGUGGGGAGCAAACAGG